UAAUCUCCGAGAAAUACUGCGCGGCUCGGAAGUCGAAACCUGAUCCCAGAGACAUUCUCGCUCCACUUUUGGUUGUUUUUAUUUUCUGAGAAAUGAGGCUGUGACGCCUCUUGUCCUCGCCGAAAAUGUCUUCAAUGCGAUGGUAAGGUGUAUGUAUCGGGGAGAGUGUGUCGCGGUGCGUCAUGUCGAGACGCAUCACCGUGUUGGAAUAUGCGGAGGCUAUUAGGAACAUCGUGAUGAGACAGAAGAGCAUUGUCAUUGGCUUCAUUUUCGUCCUCUUGUUCUGUUUUUUUUUUUGUUUGUUAUGCUCCUUUUUGGGUUGUCCGUUUCUAAAAGACUAGAACAGGGUAUUUAUAUACACUGACCAACACGUCUUUUUCUCUCUUCUUUUUAAAAUCAUUAUCUAAAACCUUAAAAUAUUUUGUAGUUUUUAGAAUUGUUUUAGUUUAGGAAAUAUACACUUCUAAUGCAAGAUCAAACUCCCACAAAUGUUUCUGCUGCAUUAUAUUCCCGAUGACAUUAGGAGCCGGAGCUCCGGCCGGCACAAACCCUAAACACCUGAUUCCUGGAGAAGCAGUAGCUAUUAGGUAGCUUUUACGAUAAGGCGCGAAACGAGCACCGCCCUUGAAGUGAAACGACAGCUGCGGCAGCUUGCUAUCGUCGAACUUGCUGGUAUCAAAACAAUACUCCAUUGGUAGUCCUUCUGGUUUGACUCUUUUCAAGCCGACAAGGUGACGCUCCAGCCCCGACACAACCGCCUUGUACGCCGCAUCAGCCAAGAACGUGAGGCUGCUUCCUGAGUCCAAGAUGGUCCCACCACCUUUUCUUACCUCCCACACUACGGGAGGGAUGUUGAGCAUGGUAUUUCCGAUGGAGAUUCCGACGAUGCUGACGGCGUAGAAGGGAGGGAGAAGAUUGAGUUCAAGCCGAGCGGUUCGUCUUGCGGGGGGUUUGAGGGUAGACGUGGGGUUAGAACCGAAGGUGAGAUAGUUGGAGAUGUUUUUGUUGGAAGUAUGGUCAACGAGGCAGUAUGAGAAUUUGGCUCCGAAGAUGUUAGUGGCUUUUGCAGUGAAGGACUGAUCGCUAAAGGCUAGACCAAGAACACCGUCCGAUGCACGGAGGCUGUCACCUUUUGUGGAGCUGCUGCAGCCAAUGAGUAGGCCAGGGAUACUAGUAGGGCUGCCGUUGGUGAGGCCAAGUGUGAAUGUAUCCGUAGCGAAUACACCUUGUGCUGUUGACCCAUCUGCGUAUCUGUUUCACACGAUCCAAAUUAGUAUUAGUAAGAAUGCAUAAACAUGGAAUAUUUGCAUUAGGUUUAACUAUUACAAUAAGAGAGGCUAGAGUUUUAUCUAUUACUCAAAAGGCAAACCUAACUCACAAGUUACAAUAAGUGACAUUUAUGUAUUGUAAUGAAUAGUAACAAGACAUUUAAUUUCACAUCUUAUCCCUUACAUACACUUGCAUCUAAAUCUAUGCCUCCAGCAAGUUCUCUAGAUAGUUGGAGAAAACAGCGAGAAGGAUGCGGUAAUAAUAGAGAGAGGUCCCUCUUCUUCUCUCAUUCAUGACCAUCACCAUCAUUUCCUCUUUGGCAUAUAACCACUACAUAUUUAAGCAACAUUGUUAUACUAAGCAUCUCCUGAUUAGACUCUACCUAAUCACAUUUUGACUACGGAUCUAUAUUGUAAUCACCACCACGAAAUGAAACACACACACAAUACCUCUUUGGUAUAUAAGUCAUAACAAAUAAGCUAAUCAGAUUGUUUAUCCUUAAAUAAACUCUACAUAAUCACAUUUUGACUAUGGAUCAAGAAUGCAAUCACGACCAAUGAAAGAGAGAUUAUUUAUGUGACAUGUACCUGUAAUCAUAAGAGCAUGGAGAUUGAGGGGUAGGGCAAAUGGAGAGGGAGAAGAGGUUCAUCAAAUCAACCUUACAAGUGUUUGUCAUGCAUCCAACUGUUUUAAAACUCGACGACCCCUCUGCUCGAAAGACUUCACGGUUCCCCUUUCCUUUCCCUUGGAACCUACAAUUAACCCACGUCAGCUCGCUCCCUGUGUCCACCACCACCCGGAACUUCUUCGCCGGCGUUCCGACCAUAAUCUCCGAGAAAUACUGCGCGGCUCCGAAGUCGAAACCUGAUCCCAGAGACAUUCUCGCUCCACUUUUGGUUGUUUUUAUUUUCUGAGAAAUGAGGCUGUGACGCCUCUUGUCCUCGCCGAAAAUGUCUUCAAUGCGAUGGUAAGGUGUAUGUAUCGGGGAGAGUGUGUCGCGGUGCGUCAUGUCGAGACGCAUCACCGUGUUGGAAUAUGCGGAGGCUAUUAGGAACAUCGUGAUGAGACAGAAGAGCAUUGUCAUUGGCUUCAUUUUCGUCCUCUUGUUCUGUUUUUUUUUUU
rnacentral:lncRNA from 1 species